rnacentral:rRNA from 1 species
AUGGCAGUGCCAGUACGUUUUCUCCAAAGGUACCUGGAUGAACUGAUUGGGAUUCGGGUUGGUGACUGCUGGGAUCCAGCAAAAGGGAAAGAAAGCAUAAUCAUUGGUGGUGCGGAGCAAUAUAUGAAGAAUCCUAUACAAGAUACACCGUGGAAUCCCCCCAAGAGGGGCUGGGUCAAAUUAAAUACAGAUGGUUCCUUUGCUGAAUCAGGUGGAGCGGGAGCCGGGAUGAUCCUGCGGGAUAACGCUGGAGCGAUGAUUUUCUCAUCAUGCAGAACCUUGUUCUCUUGUAGAGAUGCGUUGGAGGCAGAGCUAUGUGCAUGCAUGGAAGGUUUGUCCUUUGCAAUCCAGCGGUCGGAGCUACCAAUUGAAGUUGAGAUGGAUUCGAGCAAUGUAGUGUCUAUGAUUUCUUGUGAGGAGAUGGACCGCUCAAUUUAA